CCUUCACUGAUAUGAGGUAGAGGGAGAUUUCUGUAUUGAGACCCUCUCAAAUGGCUGAAUUAGACACAGUACCUCCAGAAGUUCAUUCCACUCCUCAGACGCCAGCAUUGCGCAAUACUGAUAUUAAGACAGAAAGCCACGAAGAGGAAGGGGAAAAUGAGAACACACGCAGUUGUGGAAGUGAGCCUAGAGGAAGACUGGAGGAGACAGUGACUGAAUCUAAAAGGGAAGGAAGGAUUCCAGAGCAGGGGGCGCCCAGUAGUGGGGAGAAUGAGAUCACGUGUGACUUCUGCCUUGAGGGAAAAGUGAGGGCCGUGAAGUCCUGCUUGACCUGUAUGGUGAAUUAUUGUGAGGAUCAUGUUCGGCCCCAUCAGGAGAACAGCAAGCUCUAUAGUCACCAGCUGACCAAGCCAGUAAGGGAUACAGACCCACGUAAGUGCUCAGCUCACCAGCGCCAACUUACUUGGUUUUGCUGCUUGGAGCAGCAAUGCAUCUGUGAAGAAUGUACCCAGGAAGACCACAGGGGCCACCCUACUCUCUCCCUAGAGGCAGUCAGGAGGGAAAAGCAGGCUGAACUUCAGCAGAUCCAGCUGGACUUGGACAGAAAAAUCAAAGCAACUGAAAAUGUCAUUGCCAGACUACAAGCUAACAACAAAUCAAUUUUGGUAUCAGUCUCUGAGAUGAAAGCUGUGGCAGAAGAGCAAUUUGGGGAGCUUCAUGUAGCAGUCAGGAAGGCCCAGGAAGAUGUACUUCUGUUUCUAGAAAAGAAGGAACAGGUUGCCCUGAGUCAGGCCAGUGGCAUCAAGAAACACCUGGAAAGCAAGUAUGCAGAACUGGAAAACAGCAGGCAUGUGCUGGAAAGGAUGGCCAACAUCACCAAUAAUGUCCUUUUCUUGGAGGAAUACUGUAAGUUUAAGAAGAAUAUUGAGGAUAGUCCUUUCCCCAGUGUUCAUACCGGAUUAAAGGAAAAACUUUCUGGUAUACAAAAGGUGAUCAUGGACUGCACAGAACAUUUAAUCCAGCUUCUGCAGAACUACAAGGAAAAGCUAGAAGAGUUUGCCAAGGAAGAAGAGUAUGAGAUAAAUACUGAAAUGUCUGCAGUUGUGCCCCACAAUUACCGGACUUCAAUACCUGAACCUAGCUGCAGAGUUGAUUUUCUCAAAUAUGCCUACCCCAUCACGUUUGAUCCUGACACAGCUCAUAGGUAUCUCAGGCUUCAGGAGGACAACCACAAAGUCACGAAUACCUCUCCCUGGCAACACCCAUACCCAGACCAUCCUAGCAGAUUUGAGCACUGGAGACAAGUGCUCUCCAAGCAGAGUCUGUACUUAAACCAAUAUUAUUUUGAACUGGAGAUCAAAGGAGAAGGUGUUUAUAUUGGCGUGACUAAUAAGAACAUAGACCCAAAGGGCUCAGAGAGUAAUAGUUGUAUCUCAGGGAAUAGCUUUUCUUGGAGUAUCCACUGGAACGGAAAGGAGUUUAGUGCCUGGCACAGUGGCUCUGAGACUGCACUGGGGGUUGGUCAAUUCCAGAGGCUUGGGAUCUACUUGAACUAUGUACGGAACAUUCUCUCCUUCUAUGGGAUUGAGUUUGAUACUAUGGUUCUGAUUCAUAGGUUUAACUGUGAUUUUGCUGAGCCAGUCUACCCUGCAUUCUGGCUUUCAAAGAAAGAUAGUUCAAUCCAGAUCAUAGAAUUGAGUGAAAAAGCAGAGAUCUUACAUUCUUUACCAAUAGUUUCUCCAACUUCCUCAGCAGAAGCUACUUCAUAGAAUCUAAGGGUCCAAGUCAAAUUCCUCUACCAAACAGACUUCAGACAGUGACUUACACUUCAAAAAUUAUUAUGGGACAAAUGUUGUUGGGGUUGUCCAACAUUAGAAAUCCUGGAAAUCAGAGAAGAAAAAAAGGAAUAUUGGUCUGUUCUACCCUAUUCCAUGCUGUGUUGUUCUAUACAGCAUAUUCUAAGACAUUUUUCUUAAUUCCCCUUUUGGCAUUCUAAAAUAGUAUUUCCUGAGGGCUCAGUAAUAUUGUGCUAGGUGCUCUGAAUGGUUACUAAAAAUAUAUUAGAUUUUGACCUCCAGAAGUCAAUACUUGCUAAAAUAGUUCAUAUAAUAUAAUUGAUAUGCCUAAUAUAUUAUUCUAGACUCUGAAAGGGACCAUAAAAGUUUUACAUUAUACAGAAAUCCUCCCUAUAGGAUCUAUGACAGAGAUUUGCUAUCUCACAAGAUAGACCUUGGUCAUUGGACAGCUUUGGUUGCUAGAAAGUUCUUCCUUAUGUUGAGCCAAAAAUCUACCUCCCUGUUAACAGAAGUGGAAACCCAUAGACUGCAUGGAGCACGAAAAAUUCUUCCACCAGAAAGCCUUUGAGACCUCUGGAAAGGUUAUAGUCAAGUGUACUUUCUCUGAGACACUCCAGCAAAACUGAAAAAGAAAAAAUGCUGGGAAGAUCCUUCUUACAUCCAGGACUGCACAAGCAAUCAGUCAGGAGACUGUGGGUAUAUUGAUAAGGGGGCUCUUCAGUGAAGUCUGAAGCCAGUGUGAUAAUAUUAUUGAUAAAUCCUCUGUUGAAGUCAAUGAGAUCUGGGAUUCUGACUUAUCCACGUCAUAGCAGGAGACAAAGUCAACUUCCAGUAGCUGACUAGCCAAGGAUAUGGAAAUGGGACAGAGGCACCCAGGCAAUGGAAGACAUGGGGCCCUCACAGUACCCUGAAGCAGCAAGAUUUCUGAUAUAUAGACUCAAACCAGCGAACAAAGUUAAUCCCAGUGGGUAACAGUAGAGAAUGGAGGUGGAGAUAAGGUUGAAGGCAGUGUACUCAUGGAACGUCUAGGAAGUCGAGGCAGAGCACAGGGAAAGGGAUUGAGGCAGAAGGCAGCCUUGUCAGCUCCUAAGCAAGCUUUCUACCUCAGGCCAGAAAAAAGCAGGAGGUACCAGGACUCAGCCAUUUUAUCAAGAAUUGUAGCAGGAUAGUGGCAGCAUCAUCCAGAACGCACCAGAGAUAGGAUCAAGACCCAUACCUCUCAUCCAAGAGUGUAGGAUGGGGCAGAGCCUGGCACUGGCACAAAAUUCUUAUUCAGGAACUUGGACUUUGUUUACCAGCUUCAUUUCAUCUAAUAAAUUUUUUAUUUGUGCUAUGUAUUUAUUCUAAAUCUUUAGUAAAAAGAAAUAUGUCAUGUCCAAGUAUAGAGCCUUGUGAUAUGGUAUAGUAAAAUUCCUUCUAGAAGCUGUUUCGGUGGUCACCUCCUUCUGAGUAACCAGCACCCAGAUACAAGAGCUCCUGAUUUCUCAAACACACAAGGCUGACGCCAAGGCUAGUAAUCACCAUCUCAGAUCCCUGGGCUCUGGGAAAGAAACAGAGCAGAAGCAGCAGCCAGAUUUACAUGUAAUGAUGCUAAAUGAAGUGAGCGAAGAACAUUGUACACCGCAAUAGCAAUAUUACACGAUGAAGAACUGUGAAUGACUUACAUCAUCAUAUAUGUGAGCUGGUCAUGUAACAAUAAUGAAAGAUAAUUGAUGGAUAGCUUAGGUGACCACAAAAUGUUAAAUUUGUCUACAAAAUAUUAAAAUAUCUAGAGGAAAGCUUUAAGUACAUUGGGCGGAUUGUCUAUGGAGGAUUUAUGGGAUGGUAUAGAGAAGAAGACUUGCAUGGAUUAAUUGUAUGAGAUGGUAGGGACCUUGGAAGUAUCUUACAGGACAGACAUGGAAGUAUUUUACAAGACAGAAUCCUCCUACACAGGAAAUUUUCAGCUUCUAACUCUCUGCCAAGUAUUAUAUGAAAUUUAAAAGCAAGAAGAGCAAGGUUUAUACAUUGCACACUUUGUAGAUGGUUCCCUGGCCUAGUAAGUAGACUGCAUUAGCAAGAGAGCUCUUUAUAAAUAAUUUAUCAAAGAACUUUUUUUUUUUUACAGAUCAUUACAUUUUGAACAACAUUUAAGCCAAAACCACAACAAGGGUUUUAAAAUGAACAAUUUAUAUUGCUUCAUCAUACUGAAAAAAGCAGUUAUAGCACAAUUGUUAAAUUGGCUAUUAAGCACAUUGACCAAACACCAUAUUUUAAUGACACUUAUUUAGCAAUAUGAAAGCUCAACAGAAGGAGAGGCAAUUUUGCUUAAAGCUGAAAAUGUUUAUUUCAUUCCUUUUUGGCCGAAAUGUGUAUCAUAGGUCUCUGAUUUUUUAUUGGUAUGCUUGCCUUCAAUAA